rnacentral:rRNA from 1 species
AUCGCAUGAUAUGCAAAUGAAAGCUACGGCACUAAAGGAGAGCUUUGCGUCCUAUUAGCUAGUUGGUAAGGUAAGAGCUUACCAAGGCGAUGAUAGGUAGCCGGCCUGAGAGGGUGGACGGCCACAAGGGGACUGAGAUACGGCCCUUACUCCUACGGGAGGCAGCAGUGGGGAAUAUUGGACAAUGGAGGGAACUCUGAUCCAGCAAUUCUGUGUGUGUGAAGAAGGUUUUAGGACUGUAAAACACUUUUAGUAGGGAAGAAAAAAAUGACGGUACCUACAGAAGAAGCAACGGCUAAAUACGUGCCAGCAGCCGCGGUAAU